rnacentral:rRNA from 1 species
GUGUCAGCCGCCGCGGUAAUACGAAGGGGGCUAGCGUUGUUCGGAUUUACUGGGCGUAAAGCGCACGUAGGCGGACUAUUAAGUCAGGGGUGAAAUCCCGGGGCUCAACCCCGGGACUGCCUUUGAUACUGGUAGUCUUGAGUUCGAGAGAGGUGAGUGGAAUUCCGAGUGUAGAGGUGAAAUUCGUAGAUAUUCGGAGGAACACCAGUGGCGAAGGCGGCUCACUGGCUCGAUACUGACGCUGAGGUGCGAAAGCGUGGGGAGCAAACAGG